UGACAUUAUUUCUGGCAGGAGGGCUAGGAGAAGGAUCAUUUAACCAUUAUGGAAAGUGGUUCAGAUUUGAGUUAUUCCAUAAAAAUGUGCAGACUCUAUAACUCUUGGAAAACUUAAGCUGGAGAAAUCAGAAUUCGUCUUGUUCUCUACCAAAAAGAUACAGCAGAAGUAGCUGCAGUGUAUAUGCUCCUCACACUGACCUGCCACGGUACCUCAAAGGCUGUCCCAUAUAAGGGUGAGAAAGCAGCAUCAUUGCAGUAGUCAGUGCGUCUUAGGUCUUGUCUUUUCUGCUGAAACUACCAAUGAGAGCACCAGCUGGUGCAAAAGUGCAGUGGCUUGGUGAUGUGAACAUGGAUGGAGAGCAUCAAACUCACUUCACAGAAUUAUUAGAUAUGCAAUUUGAGGUUGGAAAGUUCCCAAAUAAAUCUUGCCAAGAGUACUCAAGAUACAAACUAUUUCUGUGCAGCCCAACAAUUUCAUAUGAAGAAGUCAAGUGAUCAGAUGGUUUAAAAUCUACUACGGCUGCUAAUCCGUAGUGCAACUAUUUCAACAUUUUGGAAAACACACACAGUGCUUAAACAUUUGGGAAAAGGAACAAGUCACUGUAACACUAUUUUGUUAGCAGAAAACGUUCCUGAUCAGCUUUCCUCUCUUUCAAACAAACUGUAAAGUUAAUGGAUGCAUACGAAAUGUCAUGGUUUGAUUGUUCUAGUAGUCUAAGCCUUUCAAAUUAAAGCAAGCUUUUUCAUCUGGUAAUACAGUUGCCUUGAACUUGGACUGCAGCAACGCAAUCCACGUGACAGCUGAAAUCUUUACCCCUCUCCAUCCAAAAAAAAACCAUCGCCCCAAUGUAUUUCCAAUUUGAUGGGGGUAUUCAUGCUUUCAUAGUAACCAGUGGAAUCUAUUGUUCUCUGGCUUUUAACUUACUUGCCUAUACAAAAUGCAUAUCGGUUCUCUUGUUUAUAUAGUGCCCAUGUACUCUGCAUCUUAUUGUUCUUUAACGUUUCAUUGGUAUGUUUUCUGCAUGAAAAGUAACUCCAGACAUUAAAGAACACAAAAAAGAUUGGCACGUAGCUACUUUCAAAAUUUUAAUAAAGGCUGUAUAAUUACCCCCAGAUUAUCAGUGCCAGGGGACGUUCUCUGUUUAACUCCCCCAUACUGUAUAGGAGACAAGGAGGUGGCUGGGGGUUAGCAACCAGAGUACUGUCUACCUUGGCCCACACCUGCUGUGGAAUGUACAGUUCAGAGGGGGUAGGCCAGGGUGGUUCCAGAAAGGACAUACACAAGCCCUGCAGAUGGUCCAAAGGGCAGCUACCUACUUAGGAUAUGAACAGGAUGCAAUGGAACUGUGCUGUCAGGGAAGCAGAGCCAUUGCAGAGAACCAAGUCUAAGAUUCCUUAGAGUCUGUGGAAAUUUGCAGACAAGGACCACAGACCGUCUUAUUCCAGGGUCAACAACCCUGCUUUCACUCCU